rnacentral:piRNA from 1 species
CUAGAGCCAAGAUUGAAUGUAUG